rnacentral:tRNA from 1 species
GGGCGGUUGGCGCAGCGGUAGCGCGCUUCCUCGACACGGAAGAGGUCGCUGGUUCGAUCCCAGUACCGCCCA